rnacentral:tRNA from 8 species
AUAGCUCAGUUGGUAGAGCGCAACCUUGCCAAGGUUGAGGUCGCGAGUUCGAGACUCGUU